rnacentral:tRNA from 1 species
AGAGAGGUGUCCGAGUGGUUGAAGGAGCACGCCUGGAAAGCGUGUAUACCCGCAAGGGUAUCGAGGGUUCGAAUCCCUUCCUCUCUG